GGGGAUGUAGUUCAGUUGGCAAAGAACGCUGGCCUGUCACGCCAGAGAUCGCCGGUUCAAGUCCGGUCAUCCCCGCCA
rnacentral:tRNA from 1 species